UAUGGACUUAUUUCUGCAAAUUUAUGUUAAUUAUUGGUGGAUCUAUUAUCUAUAUAUACAUUUCUAUUUUUUAUUUACAGCAGUAUCACUAAGAAGUCUUCAAAUUAGGUUUAUGGACUUAAUUCUGCAAAUUUUAUGUUAAUUAAUGGUGGAUUUAUAGAUACAUUCUUAUCUCUGCAAUUGUAUCAGAAAAGGAGGAGGCUCGGUUGCUACACGACUUUAUUUCUGUAAGUUCGUUAUUUUCUUAGAACGGCUAACUCACACACUCUAAACCUACAAAUAAAUUUACAACAACACCUUUACUAUAUGUUGAUACCGUUAGAUUACAAGCCGUUUGGUUUGUAUUGUCUGUACUAGUUACUAGGGUUUUGAAGUAAAAAGGUGUACGUUUAAUUUUCUUUGAUUUCACUUUUAGGUACUUAAAAAGUUAUCAAUUGUUUAGUUAAAUUUACAGAAAUAAAAAACCUUUAAUAAUUGUUCCAAGCAGUUUGACCUAAAAACGGUCAAAACCUUCGGCUACAUGAAUAUCUAUAUCUAUAUAUCAUUAUAUAUUAUUACAGAUGCAUAAUCGAUUGACUAAUUACCUUGCUUAUCGAAAAGUUAUAUAUUGUUAUAUGCACUAUUUAAUUUAAUUACCCAACUUUUGGUAGUUUUUAAUAUAUUUAGGUUAACUUUUAUGCAACACUGUUCAUUAAACUAAAUUUAUAUAUCUUUAUAUUUAAUCAUUUAAAAUUAAAAAAUAUGUUUUCUUUUCUGUAUAUCAGCAUUAAUUAACUUGUAAAAUUACUACAUAUAAAUACAAUAACAAAGUUUAUAUAUAUAUUGAAAUUAUAUUUGUUUUUUUUUAUUCAUUUAUGAAUGUUUUUACAUUUAGGAAUUCCUGAUAGGUAAAAUAUAUAAGAUAUGUACAAUAAAGGUAUAAUUUUGAUGUUUGUUAUGUAAAUGUAAUGUUUGUAGUAUGUUAUUAACUUUAGGUUUGUUAUUUUAAAAAUUUUUGUAUAGUAGUAUUUAAUAGUAUUUAUACAAAAAAGUUACUAAAAUAUACCAAUUUAUUUCUUUUAUUCUGUUUUAAAUUUCCCCCAAAAAUGACAAGAGACAUCCUAGCUCCCACUAUAUGUUAACUCACGAAGGGUCUCUUUCAAUUUUUUUAAGUUUUGUUGCAUCAAAUAUCUAUCAAGAUAAAUUAUUUUAACGAGAAUAAUAAAAUAAUAAUUAAAA
rnacentral:lncRNA from 1 species